AUUGAACGCUGGCGGCAUGCCUUACACAUGCAAGUCGAACGGUAACGCGGGGCAACCUGGCGACGAGUGGCGAACGGGUGAGUAAUGUAUCGGAACGUGCCCAGUAGUGGGGGAUAGCCCGGCGAAAGCCGGAUUAAUACCGCAUACGACCUACGGGUGAAAGGGGGGGAUCGCAAGACCUCUCGCUAUUGGAGCGGCCGAUAUCAGAUUAGCUAGUUGGUGGGGUAAAGGCCCACCAAGGCAACGAUCUGUAGCUGGUCUGAGAGGACGACCAGCCACACUGGGACUGAGACACGGCCCAGACUCCUACGGGAGGCAGCAUGGGGAAUUUUGGACAAUGGGCGCAAGCCUGAUCCAGCCAUGCCGCGUGCGGGAAGAA
rnacentral:rRNA from 1 species